rnacentral:tRNA from 1 species
GCCAGAAAUAGCUCAAUUGGAGAGCGUUAAGACUGAAGAUCUAAAGGUCCUGGUUCAAUCGGGUUUCGGCG